UUGGAGGGCAAGUCUGGUGCCAGCAGCCGCGGUAAUUCCAGCUCCAAUAGCGUAUAUUAAAGUUGUUGCAGUUAAAAAGCUCGUAGUUGAAUUUCGGAAUUUUUUUAUCGGUUGAAUCAACAGGUUCGUACUGGUUUUAAGAAUUUCUACCUUCUGGAGAACCUUAAUGUCAUUAAUUUGGUGUUUUGGGAAACCAGGACUGUUACCUUGAAAAAUUAGAGUGUUUAAAGCAGGCUUAUGUCUGAAUAUAUUAGCAUGGAAUAAUGAAAUAGGACGGCAUGGUUCUAUUUUGUUGGUUUCUAGGAUCACCGUAAUGAUUAAUAGGGAUAGUUGGGGGCAUUAGUAUUCAAUUGUCAGGGGUGAAAUUCUUGGAUUUAUUGAAGACUAACUUCUGCGAAAGCAUUUGCCAAGGAUGUUUUCAUUAAUCAAGAACGAAAGUUAGGGGAUCGAAGACGAUCAGAUACCGUCGUAGUCUUAACCAUAAACUAUGCCGACUAGGAAUCGGACGAAGUUAAUUUUUUAAUGACUCGUUCGGCGCCUUACAGGAAACCAAAGUGUUUGGGUUC
rnacentral:rRNA from 1 species